rnacentral:snoRNA from 1 species
GAGCAGUGAUGAAAAAGUUUUACAACUGACUUUUGUAACCGUGAAGGUUUCUACACUUGACCUGAGCUCA